AACGAACGCUGGCGGCAUGCCUAACACAUGCAAGUCGAACGAGACCUUCGUGUCUAGUGGCGCACGGGUGCGUAACGCGUGGUAACCUGCCCUUAGGUUCGGAAUAACUCCCCGAAAGGGGUGCUAAUACCGGAUAAUGUCUUCGCACCAAAGAUUUAUCGCCUUUGGAUGGGCCCGCGUUGGAUUAGCUAGUUGGUAGGGUAAAAGCCUACCAAGGCGACGAUCCAUAGCUGGUCUGAGAGGAUGAUCAGCCACACUGGGACUGAGACACGGCCCAGACUCCUACGGAAGGCAGGAGUGGGGAAUAUUGGACAAUGGGGGAAAGCCUGAUCCAGCAGUGCCGCGUGAGUGAUGAAGGCCUUAGGGUUGUAAAGCUCUUUUACCCGGGAUGAUAAUGACAGUACCGGGAGAAUAAGCUCCGGCUAACUCCGUG
rnacentral:rRNA from 1 species